rnacentral:rRNA from 1 species
UACGUAGGGGGCAAGCGUUGUCCGGAAUUAUUGGGCGUAAAGAGCGUGUAGGCGGUCCGGUAAGUCAGCUGUGAAAGUCAAGGGCUCAACCCUUGAAUGCCGGUUGAUACUGUCGGGCUAGAGUCCGGAAGAGGCGAGUGGAAUUCCCGGUGUAGCGGUGAAAUGCGCAGAUAUCGGGAGGAACACCUGUGGUGUAGACGGCUUACUGGACCAUGACUGACGCUGAGGCACGAAAGCGUGGGGAGCAAACAGG